GUGUGAUUAGCUCAGUUGGCAGAGCAUCCGAAGAAUCGGUUGGACGAAGGUUCGAGUCCUUCAUCAUACC
rnacentral:tRNA from 1 species